rnacentral:rRNA from 1 species
AUUGAACGCUGGCGGCAGGCUUAACACAUGCAAGUCGAGCGGGGGAAGGUAGCUUGCUACCGGACCUAGCGGCGGACGGGUGAGUAAUGCUUAGGAAUCUGCCUAUUAGUGGGGGACAACAUCUCGAAAGGGAUGCUAAUACCGCAUACGUCCUACGGGAGAAAGCAGGGGAUCUUCGGACCUUGCGCUAAUAGAUGAGCCUAAGGCGGAUUAGCUAGUUGGUGGGGUAAAGGCCUACCAAGGCGACGAUCUGUAGCGGGUCUGAGAGGAUGAGCCGCCACACUGGGACGGAAACACGGCCCAGACUCCUACGGGAGGCAGCAGUGGGGAAUAUUGGACAAUGGGGGGAACCCUGAUCCAGCCAUGCCGCGUGUGUGAAGAAGGCCUUAUGGUUGUAAAGCACUUUAAGCGAGGAGGAGGCUACUGAGACUAAUACUCUUGGAUAGUGGACGUUACUCGCAGAAUAAGCACCGGCUAACUCUGUGCCAGCCGCCGCCGUAA